rnacentral:rRNA from 1 species
CAAUAGCGUAUAUUAAAGUUGUUGCAGUUAAAAAGCUCGUAGUUGGACCUUGGACCUGGACAGGCGGUCCGCCUCACGGCGUGUACUGUCUUGCUGGGUCUUUCCUCUUGGUGAUCUGUUGUUUCGGCAGCAGGGAACCAGGACUUUUACUUUGAAAAAAUUAGAGUGUUCAAAGCAGGCUCGACGCCGGAAUAUAUUAGCAUGGAAUAAUAAAAUAGGACGUGCGGUUCUAUUUUGUUGGUUUUUGGAAUCGCCGUAAUGAUUAGUAGGGACAGUCGGGGGCAUUAGUACUCACAUGCUAGAGGUGAAAUUCUUGGAUUUUGUGAAGACUAACUUCUGCGAAAGCAUUUACCAAGGAUGUUUUCAUUAA